rnacentral:rRNA from 1 species
CCUACGGGUGGCAGCAGUGGGGGAUAUUGCACAAUGGGGGGAACCCUGAUGCAGCGACGCCGCGUGGGCGAAGAAGCGCCUCGGCGCGUAAAGCUCUGUCAGCAGGGAAGAAACUGACGUUACCUGAAGAAGAAGCCCCGGCUAACUACGUGCCAGCACCCGCGGUAAUACGUAGGCGGCAAGCGUUAUCCGGAUUUACUGGGUGUAAAGGGGGCGCAGACGGCGAUGCAAGCCAGAAGUGAAAGCCCGGGGCCAAACUCCGGGACUGCCUUUGGAACUGCGCGGCUGGAGUGAAGUAGGGGCAGGCGGAAUGUCUGGUGUAGCGGUGAAAUGCGUAGAGAUCAUGAGGAACACCGGUGGCGAAGGCGGCCUGCUGGACUACUACUGACGUUGAGGCCCGAAAGCGUGGGGAGCAAACAGGAUUAGAUACCCCUGUAGUC